UACGUAGGGGGCAAGCGUUGUCCGGAUUUAUUGGGCGUAAAGAGCGUGUAGGCGGCCAUACAGGUCAGCUGUGAAAACUCGAGGCUCAACCUCGAGACGUCGGUUGAAACCGUAUGGCUAGAGUCCGGAAGAGGAGAGUGGAAUUCCCGGUGUAGCGGUGAAAUGCGCAGAUAUCGGGAAGAACACCCGUGGCUAAGGCGGCUCUCUAGUACGGUACUGACGCUGAGACGCGAAAAGCGUGGGGAGCGAACAGG
rnacentral:rRNA from 1 species